UACAGAGGGGGCAAGCGUUGUUCGGAAUUACUGGGCGUAAAGGGCGCGUAGGCGGCCUGCUAAGUCGAACGUGAAAUCCCCGGGCUCAACCCGGGAACUGCGUCCGAUACUGGCAGGCUUGAAUCCAAGAGAGGGUGGUGGAAUUCCCAGUGUAGAGGUGAAAUUCGUAGAUAUUGGGAAGAACACCAGUGGCGAAGGCGGCCACCUGGCUUGGUAUUGACGCUGAGGCGCGAAAGCGUGGGGAGCAAACAGG
rnacentral:rRNA from 1 species